AACGAACGCUGGCGGCGCGCCUAAUACAUGCAAGUCGAGCGAGAAGACGUAGCAAUACGUUUGUAAAGCGGCGAACGGGUGAGGAAUACAUGGGUAACCUACCCUCGAGUGGGGAAUAACUAGCCGGAAAGGUUAGCUAAUACCGCGUACGCUCCUUGGACUUCGGUUCAGGGAGGAAAGCGAUACCGUGGGUAUCGCGCUCUUGGAUGGGCUCAUGUCCUAUCAGCUUGUUGGGAGGUAACGCUCACCAAGGCUUCGACGGGUAGCUGGUCUGAGAGGACGAUCAG
rnacentral:rRNA from 1 species